GGAAGAAGAAAUGUUUGGGCAGGUGAAAUUAAAAACCCCAGGAUGUUAGGAGUUUCAAGGCAGAUGAGCAUCGAUGAAGGCUGCAGAAAGCAGAAGCUGCCAUGACCCGAGCCACAGCCUUUCUAAUUCUGAUAAAAUGAAUAUGCCCACAUAUGUCUCCUUCAGGAUGACAUACAAACAACAUUGACAAGACAUGAGAAUUACUUAUAUACCUACUUCCCCCGGACUGUGAAGUCUGGGACCAGGAUUGAUGUAUCUUUUUGUCUCUCAUAACAUCUAACAAAGUGUUUUUCAUAUGGUAAUGCUUAAAAUGUGUUUGUUUAUUGAAUAAAACAUGUCAGUACGAUUUUGAACA
ensembl:lncRNA